UGCGGAAGGAUCAUUACCGAGUGUAGGGUUCCUAGCGAGCCCAACCUCCCACCCGUGUUUACUGUACCUUAGUUGCUUCGGCGGGCCCGCCAUUCAUGGCCGCCGGGGGCUCUCAGCCCCGGGCCCGCGCCCGCCGGAGACACCACGAACUCUGUCUGAUCUAGUGAAGUCUGAGUUGAUUGUAUCGCAAUCAGUUAAAACUUUCAACAAUGGAUCUCUUGGUUCCGGCAUCGAUGAAGAACGCAGCGAAAUGCGAUAACUAGUGUGAAUUGCAGAAUUCCGUGAAUCAUCGAGUCUUUGAACGCACAUUGCGCCCCCUGGUAUUCCGGGGGGCAUGCCUGUCCGAGCGUCAUUGCUGCCCAUCAAGCACGGCUUGUGUGUUGGGUCGUCGUCCCCUCUCCGGGGGGGACGGGCCCCAAAGGCAGCGGCGGCACCGCGUCCGAUCCUCGAGCGUAUGGGGCUUUGUCACCCGCUCUGUAGGCCCGGCCGGCGCUUGCCGAACGCAAAUCAAUCUUUUCCAGGUUGACCUCGGAUCAGGUAGGGAUACCCGCUG
rnacentral:rRNA from 1 species